rnacentral:rRNA from 1 species
GUCGUGACUGCGUGCCUUUUGAAGAAUGAGCCUGCGAGUUUGCGGUGUGUUGCGAGGUUAACCCGUGUGGGGAAGCCGUAGCGAAAGCGAGUCCGAAUAGGGCGAUUUAGUAGCGCGCUCAAGACCCGAAGCGGAGUGAUCUAGCCAUGGGCAGGUUGAAGCGGAGGUAAGACUUCGUGGAGGACCGAACCCACCAGGUUGAAAACCUGGGGGGGAUGACCUGUGGUUAGGGGGGGUGAAAGGCCAAUCAAACUCCGUGAUAGCUGGUUCUCCCCCCCGAAAUGCAUUUAGGUGCAGCGUCGUGUGUUUCUUGCCGGAGGUAGAGCACUGGAUAGGCGAUGGCCCUACCGGGUUACUGACCUUAGCCAAACUCCGAAUGCCGGUAAGUGAGAGCGCGGCAGUGAGACUGUGGGGGGGAUAAGCUCCAUGGUCGAGAGGGAAACAGCCCAGAGCAUCGACUAAGGCCCCCCCUAAGCGUACGCUAAGUGGGAAAGGAUGUGGAGUCGCAGAGACAACCAGGAGGUUGGCUUAGAAGCAGCCACCCUUGAAAGAGUGCGUAAUAGCUCACUGGUCAAGUGAUUCCGCGCCGACAAUGUAGCGGGGCUCAAGCGUACCGCCGAAGUCGUGUCAUUCC